rnacentral:rRNA from 1 species
UACAGAGGUCUCAAGCGUUUGUUCGGAUUCAUUGGGCGUAAAGGGUGCGUAGGCGGCGCGGUAAGUCGGGUGUGAAAUCUCGGGGCUUAACUCCGAAACUGCAUUCGAUACUGCCGUGCUUGAGGACUGGAAAGGAGACUGGAAUUUACGGUGUAGCGGUGAAAUGCGUAGAUAUCGUAAGGAAGACCAGUGGCGAAGGCGGGUCUCUGGACGAGUU